ACAUGCAAGUCGAACGCAGUAGCAAUACUGAGUGGCGGACGGGUGAGUAUAAUGUGGGUAUCUGCCUUUUGGUUUGGAAUAACACGGGGAAACUUGUGCUAAUACUGGAUAAGCCUUUACAGGGAAAGCUUUAGCGCCAAAAGAUGAGCCCAUACUUGAUUAGCUAGUUGGUGAGGUAAUAGCUCACCAAGGCAACGAUCAAUAGCUGUUCUUAGAGGAAGACCAGCCACAUUGGGACUGAGACACGGCCCAAACUCCUACGGGAGGCAGCAGUGGGGAAUCUUGCACAAUGGGGGAAACCCUGAUGCAGCGAUGCCGCGUGAGUGAAGAAGGCCUUUGGGUUGUAAAGCUCUUUCGUCGGGGAAGAAAAUGACUGUACCCGAAUAAGAAGGUCCGGCUAACUUCGUGCCAGCAGCCGCGGUAAUACGAAGGGACCUAGCGUAGUUCGGAAUUACUGGGCUUAAAGAGCUCGUAGGUGGUUAAAAAAGUUGGUGGUGAAAGCCCAAGGCUUAACCUUGGAACUGCCCCCAAAACUUUUUGACUAGAGUAUGAUAGAGGUAAGUGGAAUUUCUAGUGUAGAGGUGAAAUUCGUAGAUAUUAGAAAGAACACCGAUUGCGAAGGCAACUUUCUGGAUCAUUACUGACACUGAGGAGCGAAAGCAUGGGUAGCGAAGAGGAUUAGAUACCCUCGUAGUCCAUGCUGUAAACGAUGUGUGCUAGACGUUGGAAAUUUAAUUUUCAGUGUCGCAGCAAAAGCGUUAAGCACACCGCCUGGGGAGUACGACC
rnacentral:rRNA from 1 species